AUUAGUAAAGCCAUCCAUGCCUGAAACAACAGCACUUGGAGCAGCAAUGGCAGCUGGAGCUGCAGAAGGGGUGGGUGUGUGGAGCCUACAUCCGGAUGACUUCACAGCAGUAACAUGUGAACGUUUUGAGCCACAGAUCAAUCCAGAGGAAAGUGAAUAUCGUUAUACCAGAUGGAAGAAAGCUGUUAAGAAAUCAAUGGGGUGGGAAACCUCAGAACCUCAAGGAAACAUGCAAUUUACACGUAUCUCUCUCUUGAUUUGUUUGACUGGAACCUCUCUUCUGGAUGACAUCAGGUGAAACUAGUAUCUUCUGUAGUCUACCUUUGGGCUUUUUUAUAAUGAGUAGCCUGUUAAUAUUAAUCGGAGCAAAGUAUAUCUCAGGUAAAUUCAAAUGAGGCGUUUUAAUGGAUUUCAGGAGACUUUAACAUCUCAAAAGAAUAUGGUGCUUUCUUAACAAUUUUAAUGGCAUUAUUUUGACGCAGUUCAUUGUCAAAAUAACUAUUUAGGAAAAAGAUUUAAUCAGGAAUGAACAAAUUAUAGUUGCUACUAAUUAUCUGCUUUAAAAGUAAAGUGAAAAAAACCUCUUGGUUAACUUCUGUAACUGCCAUCACAUGUUUUCUCCACUUUGAAAUGAAACAUGAAAUAAAAAAAGUUAAUUUUUUUAAAAAAAAUCUAAAUGGUACACUUUAAGAACUUUAUUGUAUACACUUACAAUACACUUACACUUAAGUUGUGGUGAUUUCUUUUUAGAAAUUGCUUAUAGCAAUACUUUCCCAAAUCAUCUUUCUUAUUCACUGAUUAGAUAACCUCACUGAGAUUUGAAGAUUCAAUAAUAUAUUUUGUAACAAGGAAAGAACAGUUAUUUAUUCUCCCUUUUCAUAUGCAUUGUUUAUCAUAUUAGGGAUUCUAAGCUACUAAGUAAAACUGGUAGACUUCAGAAAAUGUAUUUAACAUUAAAAUUAGUAUGUAAAAUAUACUGCAUAUGUAUAGCAAGAAAGCUAUAUGCCAUAUUUUUCAGAGUAUAAGACACACCUUUCUCCCCCAAAAAGAGGGUGAAAAUUUGGGUGUGUCUUAUACACCGAAUAUAGGCUCACCCACCCCCACCAGAGGCCAAAAAUGUGAGGCAUGGUGGCAGUCAUGGUCUCUGGCAAUCCACCUGCCAAUCAGCUAUGCUGAAUCAGGCUGCAAUAAGUGCUGAAGCUGAUCUGGCUGGUCAGAGUUUGCAGC